rnacentral:rRNA from 1 species
GAUGAACGCUGGCGGUAUGCUUAACACAUGCAAGUCGAACGGACUCUUCGGGGUUAUUGGCGGUCGGGUGGGGAACGCGUGAGAAUCAGGCUGUGGGUUCGGUACAACCACUGGAAACGGUGGCUAAUACCGGAUGUGCCGAUACGUAAAAGAGAAAUUUCCUGAAGAGUAGCUCGCGUCUGCUUAGCUAGGUGGUGAGGUAACGGCCCCCCAAGGCAGCGAUCAGUAGCUGGUCGGAGGGGAUGACCCGCCACAGUGGGACUGAGACACGGCCCAGACGUCUGCGGGGGGGAGGAGUGGGGAAUUUUCCGCAGUGCGCGAGAGUCUGGCGGCGAAGUACCGCGUGAGGGAAGAAGCUUCGUGGGUUGUAAACCUCUUUCCUUAGGGAAGAACAGAAUGACGGUACCUAAGGAAUCAGCAUCGGCUAACUACGUG